UGGCAUCCUUUGACAGCCCAGAGAGCCUCCUGUUGUGGCCACCUGGGUCUAUAGAUAUGGCGAUGCUACAGUAACGUCCCUGCGCUUUCUACAUGUCCUGUCUGUGGCAUGCUGGAUUGAAUUGGGGACGACAUGA